rnacentral:rRNA from 1 species
UACGUAGGGGGCUAGCGUUGUCCGGAUUUAUUGGGCGUAAAGAGCGUGUAGGCGGCCAGGUAGGUCUGGUGUGAAAACUCGAGGCUUAACCUCGAGAUGUCAUCGGAAACCAUUUGGCUAGAGUCCGGAAGAGGAGAGUGGAAUUCCUGGUGUAGCGGUGAAAUGCGUAGAGAUCAGGAAGAACACCGGUGGCGAAAGCGCUCUGCUGGACCUUAACUGACACUGAGGGACGAAAGCGAGGGGAGCGAAUGGG